rnacentral:tRNA from 1 species
GCGCCCGUAGCUCAAUUGGAUAGAGCAUCUGACUACGGAUCAGAAGGUUGGGGGUUCGAGUCCCUCCGAGCGCA